rnacentral:rRNA from 1 species
UUUCGGAUCCGAAGUAAUGGUUAAGAGGGACAGACGGGGGCAUUUGUAUGGCGGCGUUAGAGGUGAAAUUCUUGGAUCGCCGCCAGACAAACUACAGCGAAAGCAUUUGCCAAGGAUGUUUUCAUUGAUCUGGAGCGAAAGUCAGAGGUUCGAAGACGAUCAGAUACCGUCCUAGUUCUGACCAUAAACGAUGCCAACUGACGAUCCGUGGGUGUUUUAAUGACCCCGCGGGCAGUCCCCGGGAAACCUUUAAGUCUAUGGGCUCCGGGGGAAGUAUGGUUGCAAAGCUGAAACUUAAAGGAAUUGACGGAAGGGCACCACCAGGAGUGGAGCCUGCGGCUUAAUUCGACUCAACACGGGAAAACUCACCCGGCCCGGACACUGUGAGGAUUGUCAGAUUGAUAGCUCUUUCUUGAUUCGGUGGUUGGUGGUGCAUGGCCGUUCUUAGUUGGUGGAGCGAUUUGUCUGGUUAAUUCCGAUAACGAACGAGACUUUGGCCUGCUAAAUAGUAUACCUGUCCUCUGUGCUUGUUCAGGUGGCGGUUUUUCUGCCCGUUCCGCGGGUGG